rnacentral:rRNA from 1 species
UGGGGAAUAUUGGACAAUGGGGGCAACCCUGAUCCAGCCAUGCCGCGUGUGUGAAGAAGGCCUUUUGGUUGUAAAGCACUUUAAGCAGUGAAGAAGACUCCAUGGUUAAUACCCAUGGACGAUGACAUUAGCUGCAGAAUAAGCACCGGCUAACUCUGUGCCAGCAGCCGCGGUAAUGCAGAGGGUGCAAGCGUUAAUCGGAAUUACUGGGCGUAAAGCGAGCGUAGGUGGCUUGAUAAGUCAGAUGUGAAAGCCCCGGGCUUAACCUGGGAACGGCAUCUGAUACUGUUAGGCUAGAGUAGGUGAGAGGAAGGUAGAAUUCCAGGUGUAGCGGUGAAAUGCGUAGAGAUCUGGAGGAAUACCGAUGGCGAAGGCAGCCUUCUGGCAUCAUACUGACACUGAGGUUCGAAAGCGUGGGUAGCAAACA